GACGAACGCUGGCGGCGUGCUUAACACAUGCAAGUCGAACGAUGAAGCGCCAGCUUGCUGGUGUGGAUUAGUGGCGAACGGGUGAGUAACACGUGAGUAACCUGCCCCCUACUCUGGGAUAAGCCUGGGAAACUGGGUCUAAUACUGGAUAUGACCACUCACUGCAUGGUGUGUUGGUGGGAAGAUUUUUUGGUGGGGGAUUGACUCGCGGCCUAUCAGCUUGUUGGUGGGGUAAUGGCCUACCAAGGCGACGACGGGUAGCCGGCCUGAGAGGGCGACCGGCCACACUGGGACUGAGAUACGGCCCAGACUCCUACGGGAGGCAGCAGUGGGGAAUAUUGCACAAUGGGCGAAAGCCUGAUGCAGCGACGCCGCGUGAGGGAUGACGGCCUUCGGGUUGUAAACCUCUUUCACCAGGGACGAAGCUAACGUGACGGUACCUGGAGAAGAAGCACCGGCUAACUACGUG
rnacentral:rRNA from 1 species